rnacentral:rRNA from 1 species
GACGAACGCUGGCGGCGUGCUUAACACAUGCAAGUCGAACGGAAAGGCCCUGCUUUUGUGGGGUGCUCGAGUGGCGAACGGGUGAGUAACACGUGAGUAACCUGCCCUUGACUUUUGGAUAACUUCAGGAAACUGGGGCUAAUACCGGAUAGGAGCUCCUGCUGCAUGGUGGGGGUUGGAAAGUUUCGGCGGUUGGGGAUGGACUCGCGGCUUAUCAGCUUGUUGGUGGGGUAGUGGCUUACCACGGCUUUGACGGGUAGCCGGCCUGAGAGGGUGACCGGCCACAUUGGGACUGAGAUACGGCCCAGACUCCUACGGGAGGCAGCAGUGGGAAAUAUUGCACAAUGGGCGGAAGCCUGAUGCAGAAACGCCGCGUGCGGGAUGACGGCCUUCGGGUUGUAAACCGCUUUCGCCUGUGACGAAGCGUGAGUGACGGUAAUGGGUAAAGAAGCACCGGCUAACUACGUG